CAGAAAUUUUUUUUAAAACUGGUUUCAAAGAAACUAAGAAACAAUUGGAGACUAUUCAUAUAACAAAUAAAAAUGUCAUUUUCUUUUUACAGGUCUCCAAAUGGAAAAAUACAGUUCUGUUUUUCCCUUUCGUGAAACUGGCCCAAAGUGUGAACAAACAAGCCACGACCAGGCUGACAGAUUGGAAACUGAAGUACAGGGAGGUUACUUUUCCAGUGCCACUCAACGAUUCUGGGUCCUCUAA
rnacentral:lncRNA from 1 species